ensembl:lncRNA
AUGGUGGUGCAGUGGUUAGCACUGUGUACUCUGGCUUCCUCCUACAGUCUAAACCAUAGGCCGAGAGGCAGGGUACACCCUGAACAGGUCACCAGCAGGGCUAAUACAGAGAGAUAAACAACCACACAGCUAAAAAAAACCCAUCUUUUUAAACUUGCUUUUAGUUGAUUUUUAUUUUUAGGUUUUAGCUUCUGUGAAGCACUUUGUGAUUUUUAUCUUGAAAGGUGCUAUAUAAAUAAAGUUUUACUUACUUUUUACUUACUAAACACAUGCAGUAAGCGGGGUUAUGGUGAUUUGAAAUUGCUCCUAGGUGUGAAUGGUUGUUUAUCUCUCUGUAUUAGCCCUGCUGGUGACCUGUUCAGGGUGUAACCUGCCUCUCGGCCUAUGGUAGCUGGUAUAGGUUUUAGUCCCCUUGUGACCCUGAUAAGGGUAAGAGGAUGGAUGGAUGUUAGUUUUCUGUCAUUGUUGUUGACCGUCCUGAAUAGUUUGUUGCUGAAUACUCAGCUCCAUCAGAUCAUCACUUACCCCAGUACUUCCUUGCCACCCUGUUUCUUAAUUUGUCGUCAUUUUUCAUUUCUUAUCUUCCAUGUCUAGAGGUUGUUUUUGUGUCUGUGACUUAGGUUUUUUUUCUUUCUUUUUCUUUUGUUCAUUGUUCUGCUGCCAGACAGACUGCUGCAUGAUCACCAGUACGUGACCACUUCCUGGAUUUGACUAAAGGUUUGGAACCACACCUGUUCAAGUAGAUGGAACAGUAGAUAAAUAAGAAGUCGGGGGAAGUCUAAUGUCAAACCCAUGUGUUAUGCAAAUGAAUAACAGAUAGAUUUCAGUACACCUAUUAGUAAUGCAGCACAUUGUUAAAGGGCAUAGGGCCAAGUAUAGAGUCACAGAUUCAUUUUUUCUAGUUGUGAAACUAUGUAAAUACAAAUCUAACAAGACGUUUCCUGUACAAAAAGGGCAGGAAAAGAAAUGUUAUGAAGCUUGCAUCUCUUACCAAGUUGCCUUUUACUGGCACGUUGUUUAUUCUGCAGAGAGUUAAAGAGGAAGGAUUUAGCAACAUCUUAAUCUCUUUGAACAAAUGAUUAAUCACUUCAAACACUCACUGUUUACUUUUAACUUCUUGUAUUGUCACUAAAAUCACCGAGAAAGCAGCUGUAAGUCUGACAGCAGCAGAGAGUGGAUGUAUUGUUCUUGUCCUCUUAGUGUCCCGUCAGUCCAUCCAUAUUUAUACUGAAGAGCACUUAGCCUUGUUAUUCACAGCUGGUUUAAUGUAGAUUACAAAAAUGAACCAGCCCCGUUCUAUGAUGACUGCUGAGCAGGUGUGUGUCUGUGCAUUACUGCCUCGUUCAUGUAUCAUUACAGAUUAUGUUUAAUCAAAUAUUUCAUUCAAACUGUUUAUAUAUAUCUGUGUGUGUGUGUGUGUGUGUGUGUGUG